AGAACGAACGCUGGCGGCAUGCCUAACACAUGCAAGUCGAACGAGACCGCUGACUUCGGUUGGCGCGUCUAGUGGCGCACGGGUGCGUAACGCGUGGGAAUCUGCCCUUGGGUUCGGGAUAACAGUUGGAAACGACUGCUAAUACCGGAUGAUGUCUUCGGACCAAAGAUUUAUCGCCCAGGGAUGAGCCCGCGUCGGAUUAGCUAGUUGGUGGGGUAAAAGCCUACCAAGGCAACGAUCCGUAGCUGGUCUGAGAGGAUGAUCAGCCACACUGGGACUGAGACACGGCCCAGACUCCUACGGGAGGCAGCAGUGGGAAUAUUGGACAAUGGGCGAAAGCCUGAUCCAGCAAUGCCGCGUGAGUGAUGAAGGCCUUAGGGUUGUAAAGCUCUUUACCCGGAUGAUAAUGACAGUACCGGAGAAUAAGCCCGCUAACUCCGCGCCAGCAGGCCGAC
rnacentral:rRNA from 1 species